rnacentral:rRNA from 1 species
UGAGGAAUAUUGGUCAAUGGACGAGAGUCUGAACCAGCCAAGUAGCGUGCAGGAUGACGGCCCUAUGGGUUGUAAACUGCUUUUGUUUGGGAAUAAUCGACAUUACGUGUAAUGUUUUGCAUGUACCAUUCGAAUAAGGACCUGCUAAUUCCGUGCCAGCAGCCGCGGUAAUACGGAAGGUCCAGGCGUUAUCCGGAUUUAUUGGGUUUAAAGGGAGUGUAGGCGGUUGGUUAAGCGUGUUGUGAAAUGUAGAUGCUCAACAUCUGACUUGCAGCGCGAACUGGCUGACUUGAGUACACACAACGUAGGCGGAAUUCAUGGUGUAGCGGUGAAAUGCUUAGAUAUAUGGAGGAACACCGGUGGCGAAAGCGGCUCUCUGGUCUGUAACUGACGCUGAGGCUCGAAAGCGUGGGGAGCGAACAGG